ensembl:lncRNA
UGUGGACAAAAUGGGUUCUUCUAGACUCAUUAUUUUAUUGUGUUUGUAUCAUUCAUGGAGAGAAGUGCUCUGUAUUCUGACUGAACGUGCCUACCAUGUGUCUGAUUGGAGUGAUGCUGGGCAACUACUGCAAAAACACAAAGAUCUGUUCUCCGAUUGAACGUGUCUCCCAUGUGUCUGAUUGGAGUGAUGCUGGGCAACUACUGCAAAAACACAAAGGUUUGGUUGCAAAUUAUAUAUCUUCAUUAGCAUAAAUACAUACAUGCUCAGAUGAGUAUGAUGUUUUUAGUUACUGAGUUGUAUUAAAAUUGAAGAGAAAUUACUGUCGUUGUACUAUGUUGUCACCAAUGUGACUAACCGUUAUUAAAAUGUUCUCUAGGACGGACUGAACAUGACUAUUUUCACUUCCCUGAGAAACCUAGUUCAAGUGCUCAUGUGAAGUCAAGUUCUUCCGUUUUCCUUCCAAAAUCUACUAUAAAGGAAGACAGCUUUUUUUCUCCAACCCGUAAAAAAAAAUAAAAAAAAAUAAAACAAAUCUUGCUCUCUUCCC